rnacentral:rRNA from 1 species
AUUGAACGCUGGCGGCAGGCCUAACACAUGCAAGUCGAACGAGUGGCGGACGGGUGAGUAAUGUCUGGGAAACUGCCCGAUGGAGGGGGAUAACUACUGGAAAAGGUAGCUAAUACCGCAUACCAUCGGAUGUGCCCAGAUGGGAUUAGCUAGUGGGGGGGGUAACGGCUCACCUGGGCGACGAUCCCUAGCUGGUCUGAGAGGAGGACAGGCAACACUGGAAUGGAGACACGGUCCAGACGCCUACGGGAGUCAGCAGUGGGAAAUAUUGCACAUUGGGCGCAAGCCUGAUGCAGCAAUGCCGCGUGGAUGAAGAGGGCCUUCGGGUUGUAAAGUACUUUCAGCGAGGAGGCGUUACUCGCAGAAGAAGCAUCGGCUAACUCCGUGCCAGCAGCCGCGGUAAUUC